GACGAACGCUGGCGGCGGGCUUAACACAUGCAAGUCGAGCGGAGCGGCGAACGGGUGAGUAACGCGUGAGUAACUGCCCCCCUCUCUGGGAUAACAGUUGGAAACGGCUGCUAAUACAGGACAGUGGGGGAUGACUCGCGUCCUCUCAGCUAGUUGGUGGGGUAGUGGCCUACCAAGGCGACGACGGGUAGCCGGCCUGAGAGGGCGACCGGCAAAAUAGGGCUGGAAUAAGGGCCAAAAACGUACGGGAGGCAGCAGUGUGGAAUAUUGCACAAUGGGGAAAACCCGGAUGCAGCAACGCCGCGUGCGGGAGGACGGCCUUCGGGUUGUAAACCGCUUUCAGCCAUGACGCGGUAGUGGCAGAAGAAGCACCGGCUAAGUACGUGCCAGCAGCAGCGGUAAUAC
rnacentral:rRNA from 1 species